AUGUGUUGUAAUUCCUACAAACUUAGUGAACCAUAUCUAAUUAGAUCUCCAUAGUUAAGCAUGCUUGGGAUAGAGUAGUACUAGGAUGGGUGACCUCCUAAGAAUUCCUAUUGUUUUACAUG
rnacentral:rRNA from 1 species